GACGAACGCUGGCGGCGUGCUUAACACAUGCAAGUCGAACGAAGAGCGCUGGAAGCUUGCUUCUAUCAAUCUUAGUAGCGAACGGGUGAGUAACGCGUAAUCAACCUGCCCUUCAGAGGUGGCCAACAGUAGGAAACGACUGUUAAUACUGCAUACGAUCUAACCUCGGCAUCGAGGGAAGAUGUUAGGUGGCCUCUAUGUAUCAGCUAUCACUGCAGCUGGGGAGUGCGGCUGAUUGGUUAGAUGGAGGGGUAACGGCCCACCAAGGAGAUGAUCAGUAGCAGGACUGAGUGGAUGGACAGCCAGAUUGGGACGGUGACACGGCCCAGUGGGCUACGGGAGGGAGCAGUAGGGAAACGUGCGCAAGGGACGAAAGUCUGACGGAGCAACGCGGCGUGAGGAAUGACGGCCUUCGGGUUGUAAAGCUCGGUUAUUCGGGACGAAAGGCCUUCUUGCGGAGAGGGAGAAGGAGUGACGGUACUGGAAUAGAAAGCCACGGCUAACUACGUG
rnacentral:rRNA from 1 species